UCAACUCGAGUUCAACCUGCAC
rnacentral:siRNA from 1 species